UCGAGAAUCUUCCGCAAUGGGCGAAAGCCUGACGGAGCGACGCCGCGUGCGGGACGAAGGCCUUUGGGUUGUAAACCGCUGUUGGAGGGGAGCAAGGCGAGAGCUUGAGCGAGCCUCUGAGGAAGCACGGGCUAAGUACGUGCCAGCAGCCGCGGUAACACGUACUGUGCAAACGUUAUUCGGAAUCACUGGGCUUAAAGGGUGCGUAGGCGGCGAAUCCAGUCAGACGUGAAAUCUCGCAGCUCAACUGCGAGGCUGCUUUUGAAACUGAUUCGCUGGAGUGGACCAGGGGCGCUCGGAACUGUCGGUGGAGCGGUGAAAUGCGUUGAGAUCGACAGGAACGCCGGAGGCGAAAGCGGAGCGCUGGGGUCACACUGACGCUGUGGCACGAAAGCCAGGGGAGCGAACGGGAUUAGAUACCCCCGUAGUCC
rnacentral:rRNA from 1 species